CUGGUUGUGGAUCCAAUGUGUUACAACUCUCUAAAAUGCCUACACUUGGAUCUAUUCAAUGGAUUACCUAAUCACACAAAUGGUAGUCAUUCGUUAAAGUUUGUCAUGAUCAUCAUAAGAGAUAAGUUAAUUAAAAAAAUCUCCCAGUUGACACUUACCCUUAUGAAUGUUAAGAAUCGAGAUUCUUUUUCCAAGUUUAACGAUUUCCUGGGUUGAUGUCCG
rnacentral:lncRNA from 1 species